rnacentral:rRNA from 1 species
CCUACGGGUGGCAGCAGUGAGGAAUAUUGGUCAAUGGGCGCGAGCCUGAACCAGCAAAGUAGCGUGAAGGAUGACUGCCCUACGGGCUGUAAACUUCUUUUAUAAAGGAAUAAAGUGAGGCACGUGUGCAUUUUUGUAUGUACUUUAUGAAUAAGGAUAGGCUAACUCCGUGUCAGAAGCCGCGGUAAUACGGAGGAUCCGAGCGUUAUCCGGAUUUAUUGGGUUUAAAGGGAGCGUAGAUGGGUUGUUAAGUCAGUUGUGAAAGUUUGCGGCUCAACCGUAAACUUGCAAUUGAUACUGGCAGCCUUGAGUACAGUUGAGGUAGGUGGAAUUCGUGGUGUAGCGGUGAAAUGCUUAGAUAUCACGAAGAACUCCGAUUGCGAAAGCAGCUUACUAAACUGCCACUGACAUUGAUGCUCGAAAGUGUGGGUAUCAAACAGGAUUAGAUACCCUUGUAGUC